CCUGGUUGAUUCUGCCAGUAGUCAUAUGCUUGUCUCAAAGAUUAAGCCAUGCAUGUCUAAGUAUAAGCAAUCAUACUGUGAAACUGCGAAUGGCUCAUUAAAUCAGUUAUAGUUUAUUUGAUAGUACCUUUACCUGGAUAACUGUGGUAAUUCUAGAGCUAAUACAUGCUAAAAACCCCAACUUCGGAAGGGGUGUAUUUAUUAGAUAAAAAACCAAUGCCCUUCGGGGCUCUUUGGUGAUUCAUAAUAACUAAACGAAUCGCAUGGCCUUGCGCCGGCGAUGGUUCAUUCAAAUUUCUGCCCUAUCAACUUUCGAUGGUAAGGUAGUGGCUUACCAUGGUUUCAACGGGUAACGGGGAAUUAGGGUUCUAUUCCGGAGAGGGAGCCUGAGAAACGGCUACCACAUCCAAGGAAGGCAGCAGGCGCGCAAAUUACCCAAUCCCAAUACGGGGAGGUAGUGACAAUAAAUACUGAUACGGGGCUCUUUUGGGUCUCGUAAUUGGAAUGAGUACAAUCUAAAUCCCUUAACGAGGAACAAUUGGAGGGCAAGUCUGGUGCCAGCAGC
rfam:Phialophora attae strain CBS 131958 Contig132, whole genome shotgun sequence.